rnacentral:rRNA from 1 species
UAGGGAAUAUUGGGCAAUGGAGGGAACUCUGACCCAGCCAUGCCGCGUGCAGGAUGAAGGCGUUAUGCGUUGUAAACUGCUUUUAUAUAGGAAGAAAUAGUCCUUGCGAGGAAAGUUGACGGUACUAUAUGAAUAAGCACCGGCUAACUCCGUGCCAGCAGCCGCGGUAAUACGGAGGGUGCAAGCGUUGUCCGGAUUUAUUGGGUUUAAAGGGUGCGUAGGCGGUUUAUUAAGUCAGUGGUGAAAGACGGUCGCUCAACGAUUGCAGUGCCAUUGAUACUGGUAGACUUGAGUAUGAUUGAGGUAGCUGGAAUGGAUAGUGUAGCGGUGAAAUGCAUAGAUAUUAUCCAGAACACCAAUUGCGUAGGCAAGUUACUAAGUCAUAACUGACGCUGAGGCACGAAAGUGUGGGUAU